rnacentral:rRNA from 1 species
UACGAAGGGGGCUAGCGUUGCUCGGAAUUACUGGGCGUAAAGGGCGCGUAGGCGGACAGUUAAGUCAGGAGUUAAAGCCCAGGGCUCAACCUUGGAAUCGCUUUUGAUACUGGCUGUCUUGAGUACGGGAGAGGUGUGUGGAACUCCGAGUGUAGAGGUGAAAUUCGUAGAUAUUCGGAAGAACACCAGUGGCGAAGGCGACACACUGGCCCGUUACUGACGCUGAGGCGCGAAAGCGUGGGGAG